rnacentral:rRNA from 1 species
AUGAAUGUGGUGCAGGGACCACAUGUGACAUUCCAGCAGAAGGACUGGUUCCUGUUGCACGAUCACUUGGAGGGUGUGCAUGACUACAAGAAACAAUGGCCAAACGCGGCUCCUGAAGAACUGGAAGGGACAAAACAGGAGAUCUACUGUGCAUGUCGGGAUAGCGAACAGAAGAAGGUGAUAAUGGAUGAGUCGGCGAAUCGGCGGGAUAAGUGGACCAGUGAUCAUUCGCUACAUGUUGUUCUUUGGCUUGUUGCCACUUGGACACUGAGAUGGAGGUGGAGCAAUGUACCUGGGUGUACGCAUAGGAAAACUUGUCAAAGCUGGAGCAGGAGUCGAAUGCCUAUCUCCCACAGAAAAAUUGAGAUGGUGUGUGGGGCUAUAACGCUAAUAAUGGGUUUGUUCUUCAACACAAGCUCCGAAUGCACCAUCUCCCACCAGCUUGGCCAUCUGUGUUGA